rnacentral:misc_RNA from 1 species
GAUGAAGAACGUAGCGAAAUGCGAUAAGUAGUGUGAAUUGCAGAAUUCAGUGAAUCAUCGAAUCUUUGAACGCACAUUGCGCCCCUCGGUAUUCCGUGGGGCAUGCCUGUUCAAGCGUCAUUUAACCCCUCAAGCCUAGCUUGGUAUUGGGUGCUUGUCCCGCCUCUCGCGCGGCGACUCACCUCAAAGUCAUUGGCAGCCCGCAUCUCGCCGGCCGUGAGCGCAGCACAGACGCGCUCUUGGCAACGACGGAUCGGCUCUCCAAAAGCUUAUUUCAACCACUGACCUCGGAUCAGGUAGGGAUACCCGCUGAACUUAAGCAUAUCAAUAAGCGGAGGA